rnacentral:rRNA from 1 species
UGAUCCUGGCUCAGGACGAACGCUGGCGGCGGGCCUAACACAUGCAAGUCGAAGGGGAUUGACCGAGCUUGCUCGGUCAUGAGACUGGCGUACGGGUGCGUAACACGUAAACAAUCUGCCUGCAGGUGGGGGAUAACCACGCGAAAGCGUGGCUAAUACCGCAUGAUGCAGCGGGGCCGCAUGGUCACAGUUGUUAAAGCCCUUCGGGGCGCCUGCAGAUGAGUUUGCGUCGCAUUAGUUAGUUGGUGGGGUAACGGCCCACCAAGACGAUGAUGCGUAGGGGGUCUGAGAGGAUGAUCCCCCACACUGGCACUGAGACACGGGCCAGACUCCUACGGGAGGCAGCAGUGAGGAAUAUUGCGCAAUGGGCGAAAGCCUGACGCAGCCACGCCGCGUGCCGGAAGAAGGUUCUUUGAAUCGUAAACGGCUUUUGUCGGGGAAGAACGGACUGGUUUCGACCGGUCGUGACGGUACCCGUUGAAUAAGCACCGGCUAACUCCGUGCCAGCAGCCGCGGUAAUACGGAGGGUGCAAGCGUUGUCCGGAAUCAUUGGGUGUAAAGGGUGCGUAGGCGGAGUCUUAAGUCUGUGGUGAAAUCUUACCGCUCAACGGUAAACGUGCCAUGGAAACUGGGAUUCUUGAGUGUGACAGAGGCAGGUGGAAUUCGUAGUGUAGCGGUGAAAUGCAUAGAUAUUACGAAGAACACCAGUGGCGAAGGCGGCCUGCUGGGUCACAACUGACGCUGAGGCACG